rnacentral:rRNA from 1 species
GGGAUUAGAUACCCCACUAUGCCUAGCCAUAAACAUAGAUAAUCACGUACUUUUUUAUCCGCCCGGGUACUACGAGCAUCAGCUUAAAACCCAAAGGACUUGGCGGUGCUUUAGAUCCACCUAGAGGAGCCUGUUCUAGAACCGAUAAUCCCCGUUAAACCUCACCUUUCCUUGCCCAAUCCGCCUAUAUACCGCCGUCGCCAGCUUACUCUGUGAAGAGUCUGUAGUAAGCACAAUCGGUACAGCCCAAAACGUCAGGUCGAGGUGUAGCGUAUGGAAAGGGAAGAAAUGGGCUACAUUCAAUAAUAAUAAUGAACACGAAUAAUGUUUUGAAAGAAACAAUUGAAGGAGGAUUUAGUAGUAAGCAGGGAAUAGAGCGCCCUGCUGAAACCGGCCCUGAAGCGCGCAC